rnacentral:ncRNA from 1 species
UAAGUAGUUAUUAUUAUUAUUAUUUUAUAUAAUUAUUAUAUUCAGUUUUAAAUAAAGUUUUAUUUUGGCUUGAAAUUUUAAUUUAUUAUUAUUUUAUAUGUAAAAAUUUGAUUAAAAAUUUUUUUAUUGCAGUUUUUAAUAUUAAAAAAUUAUUUAGGUAAGUUUUAGUAAUUAAUUAUAGAUUUAAUAAAAUUUGUGCCAGCAAUUGCGGUUAUACAAAUGAUUCAAUUAAAAUUUAUUGGUUAAUAAUUAAUUUAUUUUAUAGGAAAUUUAUUAUUGAAAUUUUUAGGUGAAAUUUAAAUUUUAAUAUAUUAUUAUUAUUAUUAUUUGAAGUUAUUAAAAUUAGAAUUAAACUAGGAUUAGAUACCCUAUUAUUAUAAUUGUAAAUUUAUAUGCUUGAUUAGUAUUAGUUAUUUUCUUAAAAAUUAAAAAAUUUGGCGGUAUUUUAGUCUAUUCAGAGGAACCUGUUCUGUAAUUGAUAGUCCACGAUUAGUUUUACUUUUCUUUUAUAUUUGUAUAUCGUUGUUUUUGAAUAUUUUAUAAGAAUUAGAAUUUUCAAUAAGUAUAUUAUAGUUUAUUUCAGAUCAAGGUGCAGUUUAUAGGAAAGAAGAAAUGGGUUACAUUAAAUUUAUUUUUGGUUUAUAAUUUUAAUAAGUUUUAUUAAAUUGGAUUUGAUAGUAAUAAUAUAUAUAUAUAUAUUGUGAUUUUAGCUCUAAAAUGUGUACAUAUUGCCCGUCGCUCUCAUUUAUUUUAGAUAAGUCGUAACAAAGUAGAUUUACUGGAAAGUGUAUCUAGGAUUAUU